CUGCUCUGGGUUGAGGUAGUUGUUUGUACAGUUUUUAGGGUCUGUUAUUCUGCCCUGUUAAGGAGUUAACUGUACAGACUACUGCCUUGCCCAGGGU
ensembl:miRNA microRNA let-7g